CCUACGGGAGGCAGCAGUGGGGGAUAUUGCACAAUGGGGGAAACCCUGAUGCAGCGACGCCGCGUGUGGGAAGACGGUCCUCUGGAUUGUAAACCACUGUCCCCAGGGACGAAGAUGACGGUACCUGGGGAGGAAGCUCCGGCUAACUACGUGCCAGCAGCCGCGGUAAUACGUAGGGAGCGAGCGUUGUCCGGAAUUACUGGGUGUAAAGGGAGCGUAGGCGGGACUGCAAGUUGGGUGUCAAAUCUACCGGCUCAACCGGUAGCCGCACUCAAAACUGCAGUUCUAGAGUGAAGUAGAGGCAGGCGGAAUUCCUAGUGUAGCGGUGAAAUGUGUAGAUAUUAGGAGGAACACCAGUGGCGAAGCCGGCCUGCUGGGCUUUUACUGACGCUGAGGCUCGAAAGUGUGGGGAGCAAACAGGAUUAGAUACCCCAGUAGUC
rnacentral:rRNA from 1 species